UUGCGCCCCUCCCCCCACAUUUCCUGGGAAAAGCGUUAGGUAUUUUCCGACGUACUUGGAAAGUAAAAACGAGCUUGUCCUACUGCACGGCUCCGUUUUCCAUGCCUUAAGGACCGGGUGCACCUGCCUUAAGGACAGGCCUCGGGGCGCUUGACCACCUUAAGAAAAUGAAGUUCACAGAAAAAUUUUAGGGCCUGGGAAAUAUGACAGUGAUUCUCAACUCUAGUCACAUUUGUUAGAGAUCUUUAAGAAAAUAGAUUCCCGGAUAGCCUUGGCUAAACCAGAAGGUUGGCUGGACUCGUUGGAUUGCCUUGGAGUUCCUGCCCUGCUCCCUUCUCCUUAGAAGGCCUCUUUGCAACGUCUUCUUGAACAUAGGAUGGGUUUUAUUAAAUUACUUGAAAAGGAUCAUCUAUGAGCCCAUGUUAGAGGCUGGAGUCAGUACAGAAUAUUCCAGGGUCCUGCCCGCUGUGAGAAGACGGUACCUGAUGGACAACGAGUUUCUCCGCUCCUGCGCUUGGUCACCUACACGCGUUUCCAGCGCGCCCUCCGCUACCCAGCCCUGUCCU